ACCGCUUCUCGGCCUUUGGCUAAGAUCAAGUGUAGUAUCAAACAUAAUAUGAAUGUACAGUAAGAAGCAAUUAUAGUUUUGGCACUGGAAUGAAUAACUUCUCACCUAUAUUCAAUCAAAAGAGUACUCGCUAUAGAGUGAUAUUCUGCAGCUUU
ensembl:snRNA U2 U2 spliceosomal RNA